UACGGAGGAUCCGAGCGUUAUCCGGAUUUAUUGGGUUUAAAGGGUGCGUAGGCGGCCUAUUAAGUCAGGGGUGAAAGACGGUAGCUUAACUAUCGCAGUGCCUUUGAUACUGAUGGGCUUGAAUGACUGUAGAGGUAGGCGGAAUGUGACAAGUAGCGGUGAAAUGCAUAGAUAUGUCACAGAACACCAAAUUGCGAAGGCAGCUUACUAAUGUUUAUUGACGCUGAGGCACGAAAGCGUGGGGAUCAAACAGG
rnacentral:rRNA from 1 species